UUGAGUUGUUACACUUUUAAAAGAGCCUGUCGUAACGAAUAACUUGCUAGAACGGACACUAAUUUCAUAUUUUGAUAGAAAAUCGCGAAUUUGCCUAAUCUCACACGUCAAACGUGUCGUACGCUAAAUUCGCCACAAUAUUCACGCUCACGUUUAAUGCUCAUAUAAAUAUAAUUUCAAAGUUGGAGAUUGGGCGAAUUUCUCGCAAUGCCCAAGCUGCAGCUGAUUUUUCUAAUAGUGUUGGUGUGUGUUUCGAGUUCCACCGCCAAGGAUGAGAAAAGUAAAGAUACGCCUGCAGGUCCAGCGUCAGCUCUCUUACAGCCAAUCAAACUACAACUCGCACAACUACCUUCGUGCUAUAGAGGAAUUUUACUGUUUUUAGUCACAUAUUCCACUCUUAAAACGUUCAAACCGUUCCUUACGCCACUUUUGCCGAUCAUUAUCCCAGCCAUUGGUGCAGCUAUUAUGUCGAAAAUGCCCAAACCUGGCAAGAGAUAACGUGUUCCUAUGUAAUGUCAUGAAUUAAAUUAAUAAACGUUUCUUUAAA